ACAGCUUCCCUGAAAUUUGCUUUUCUUGCUUUGCCUAACUUGGAUGAGGCUGUUAUUCUGAAACAAGGUUAAUGUCUUCCACUCACUGUCUUUAUUAUUAAUUGAUCACUAUUUUCUCCUUGGCUCAGCUUCUCAGAGCACAUGGAGUAAUUUUUAAUACCCUCCAGCACUCUUGAUAUGUGAUAUCUUCAGUUGAUGCGAGAUUUGUUUGGAGCUUCCCUAGAGAAAUAUGAGGAAACUAUGAUAUUUUAAUAUGUGCAUGGAAUAAAAUUUGAUUCCUAUUUUCAUGUAUGUCUGCAAAAUAUCAUCAGAAUGAGGAAAUAUCAGGCUUAUUUUUGAGGCAUUGGGGUACUGAUUUGAUUUGACUGGAACUUGGAAUCACUUGGAAAUUGUGGGUGAGAAGAAGAAAGACCAAUGAAGAAGGAACCAUCCAGGCCAGGAUAGAGGUCAAAGAGGAGAAAAGUGACAGAAAGAAAGUCACCAAUUUUCCCUUGACUUUGGACAGCUCUGCUUCCCUCUGAUGAAGCCCAGUUGUGCAAUUUUCUUUCCCUCAAUUAAAGGGAAAAAAUACAGAGUACUGAAAGGCCAA